rnacentral:sRNA from 1 species
UUAAGGACUAGCUUGACGAAGCGAAAAGUCAUUUCCUUAGAUGACCUGUCCUUAAUUCUUUAUUACUAAGG